AAAUCACUCUUCUUAUGUUUUUUAAAAGGUUAUGUAAUACUAAGCUCUUCAGUCCCAGUGAGCACAGCCAUGUUGCUUUGUAAGGAAAAGUAUUAUUUAAAAAAAUAUUUAAGGGUCUUCCAUAGGUCCUAAAUCAUGUAUCAGCAAAUACUCAUUUUCAAAAUAUCUAAAAUUAUAGUUAUUAUCUGUCCUUCUUUCUAAUCUGAAAAGUAUCCUACUUUCAAAAUUUUGGGACCCCUGCUUAGAAACAAGUUGACAAUAAUAUUGCAGUGUUGUGCUAGGCUAACAAAGAAGAAACCCACCCAGUGGUGGGUGGGGAGGGAUAGUUAUUGCGAUGUGUUAGAGAAAAAGGUUGAAGGUUACAUCACAACUGUAAAACGAGGGAGAAUUAUACAAGAAAGGAAAUAGGGAAAGAUACUUCAGGAGAAUGAAGAGCAUGGAGCAGCAUAGAACUGAUUCAGAAGUGGUCAAACUUCAUCCAUGAGAGAAACAAUGUCUUCAAAGUUGCAUAAAAUAAAAGAAAGAUUAGAUCACUGUAUAUGGUGACAUCAUUACAAGUUUUUAUCUGGGGUAGUUACUGAGGAUAGCAUAUAGAAGACUGUUUUCAGAACAUAUUGUACACUCAUUCUUUUGUUAAGACUGAUGAAUUCCCUGCUGCAAUUUGCUACCCAGCUGUGUGUUGUGUUUUCCCACAUGGGUUUUCUAGCUAUGUUAAUUCUCUUGCCUCUUCUCUGUGACAGGAUACAGAUGUAAACAAAGUGCUCUCUGCCCAUGCAUAUGUGGCUUGAUUAGCCAGUGUUGAGAGAAUUCCUCCCUGAAGAGACUUAAACCAUGCCCAUUCCCUCUUCAUAAGGUCUCAAUGACAAACCAAGUGUAAUUCCACCAAAGGCUAUCUGGAAAAUCAAUGAAUGUAUUGGACUUAUUUACAGAGUGUAGGUGUAGGAUUGUUGUUAGAAGGACUGAGAAGUCUUCCUCUAACACAAGUAGAGUUCCUUUUAGUUAUCAUUACCCAGCCUCCCUAAUAGCGUCCUGAGACCCUGAGGCUAGCUACAGUAAGGGUUGUGUUGCAUACAUGUGGCUAGGAGGCAUGGCUGGACACUCAGCAAGAGUCCAGUGAUCCUUCCCUAUUCCACUCUCUCCUUCUAUGAGGGAAUGUCAACAGUGUUCACACACAGCUGAUCUGGAGGAGAGGGUGCAUGCUUUGUUCAGAGGACCUGGUUCAAUAAUACCAAGAGGUAAGCUAUUCCAUCUGGAAUGAGGACCCUGAUAGUUACAAGAAACAUCAGGAUGAAUGUUUUUAUAGGUGCUAAGUUGUCAGCUCUGGAAAAAGAAUAUUGUUUCCUAACAAAGCCUAACAGAACAGAGCUCUUAUGAAUAUCAAGCUUGCAGAAAAGUAUAAAUUCAGGAAUCUCAACACUAUAAUUGUCACUAGCAACUUUAUUUUUGGAAACUUUUUGUUCAGUUUGGUUUUUACUCUUAUGCUAAUUGUUUUGUCUUAUUUUGAUAUGAGAUGGGAACAAAGGUUCUGUUCAUCAAUGCUCUUAUAUGAAACUAUAUAUGAACACGCAGGAUGCUAUUACAGUUAUCACCAACUGUGUCAUAGAGUUCUCAGUGACAAUGGUCUUAUUAUUGUCUUGUAUUCUUGGGACAUCCUCAAUUCACCAUUUUUAAAAAUUAUUUUUUAUUGAUUAUUUGGGUAUCUCAAAACUGAGAAGAGUUACGCCAGGCUGAACCAGCUCUCCAGUGCCCUGAGCCACCACUUUCUCUGAAGUCUUUGGGCUGGCAAGAGGACAGACCCAGUUCUCCUGUGCACAGGAACCUAAAUACAGCUUCAGGCGGCAGACUGGACCACACACAUCUGCAUGAGCUUUGAUGACAAUAUGGGCCACAGACUUCAAAAACUGAACCUUGGCUGUAUCAGGACCACUGACCCACUCAUGGCCUUCAGUGACUGCACUGGACAUGAGCCUCAACAUGGCCCCAGGUGGUUACUGUCAACGACAUAGCAUGGAUGGAAAGAUAUCCUGGCAGCCUGGAGCCAAGGCAUACCUAUGUAAUACUAGAACACUUUAUACGUGUCUAUUGUCUAUAAGCAUCCAGUGAGUACUAUGAUACAGUACCAGAACACAACAGCAUCAGAGAUUCUUUCAUAUUUGUAAGUACUAAGCUUGAAGAAGAUAAUGCUUAUCUGGGAUAUACACACACACAGUACUCAUUUUCCCUGUCAACUUAGAACCACAAGUGGCCAGCAAAGUAUAAAUAGCACCGAGCAAAGGUUGGGAUAUGAUUUCUCUGGUUUCCUUCUCCCUAUCAUUUUAAUCAUGAGUGUUUCUUUGUUGAGAUGGAACAUCUAUCAGAUCAUGUCCACUAAUUUCUGCCAACAGGAGGUAUAUACUUUUUAUUUGUUUGCUUGAUCUUUCUUGCUUUGUUCCUGAUGAAGUUUCUUGCUAUGCAGUCUGACUGGCCAGAUGUUUCCUAUGUAGACCAAGCUGCUUUCAGAGUUCUGGGUGUCCUGUUGCUUCUGCUUUUUAGUGUGCAUAUUUUAGAACUAGAGUAAUGCCUGGAUACAGAUAUCAUUUGUCGAAUUAUUUAAUACAUAUAGUGAAAGUGAGAGGUAAAUUCUUGUUUAAAUUAUCAUAUUUUGUGUUUUUUGUAACAGCUCACUGUUAGUUUAUCUUGAAUAAUUUGUGUUAAGUGCCCACCAUUGACAUUUUACUAAAUCUAUGCUGUAUUGGAACUAUAUCCCAAAUAGCCUGUUAAAUAAUCUGUGACAUUUUGUGGGUAUGUCUUUUAAUUAAUUGAAAAUUUAAUUCAA